UCAUUUCCUUUUUUUUUUUUUUCUUAAAUCAAGUAAAACUGAUUUAUUUUAUUUUUCCCUCCUUUUGUUUGCUGAAUGUUAGGUAGAGAUUUAAAAUAUGGAUGUCAAUUUAAAUUAUUCUGGAAUUGUCUGCUUGAAAUCAUUAUGGCUAUUCACAGACUAAUUAUUAUUUACACUCUAGCAAACAGUAGAUCCCUUUCAUAGGAACAGGGUGGAAGAGGCUGGAAAA
rnacentral:misc_RNA from 1 species